rnacentral:rRNA from 1 species
UACGAAGGGUGCAAGCGUUACUCGGAAUUACUGGGCGUAAAGCGUGCGUAGGUGGUUUGUUAAGUCCGAUGUGAAAGCCCUGGGCUCAACCUGGGAAUGGCAUUGGAUACUGGCAGGCUAGAGUGCGGUAGAGGGCAGUGGAAUUCCCGGUGUAGCAGUGAAAUGCGUAGAGAUCGGGAGGAACACCUGCGGCGAAGGCGGGUUGCUGGGCCGACACUGACGCUGAUGCGCGAAAGCGUGGGGAGCGAACAGG